rnacentral:tRNA from 1 species
GCCGGGGUGGCGGAACUGGCAGACGCACAGGACUUAAAAUCCUGCGGUGAGANNGAUCACCGUACCGGUUCGAUUCCGGUCCUCGGCACCA